UACGGAGGGAGCUAGCGUUGUUCGGAAUUACUGGGCGUAAAGCGCACGUAGGCGGCUUUGUAAGUUAGAGGUGAAAGCCCGGAGCUCAACUCCGGAACUGCCUUUAAGACUGCAUCGCUUGAAUCCAGGAGAGGUGAGUAGAAUUCCGAGUGUAGAGGUGAAAUUCGUAGAUAUUCGGAAGAACACCAGUGGCGAAGGCGGCUCACUGGACUGGUAUUGACGCUGAGGUGCGAAAGCGUGGGGAGCAAACAGG
rnacentral:rRNA from 1 species